rnacentral:rRNA from 1 species
GAGUUUGAUCCUGGCUCAGGACGAACGCUGGCGGUGCGCCUAAUGCAUGCAAGUCGAACGGGCAAAGGGGCUUCGGCCCCCGAGCUAGUGGCAGACGGCUGAGUAACACGUAAGUGAUCUGCCCCAGAGAGGGGGAUAAGCCGGAGAAAUCCGGUCUAAUACCCCGUACGCUCUCUAAGUUACGGCGUAGAGAGGAAAGGCUCCGGCGCUCUGGGAGGAACUUGCGGCCUAUCAAGGUUGUUGGUGGGGUAAAAGCCUACCAAGCCGAAGACGGGUAACCGGUGUGAGAGCACGAUCGGUCAGAGGGGGACUGAGACACGGCCCCCACUCCUACGGGAGGCAGCAGCAGGGAAUCUUGCGCAAUGGGCGAAAGCCUGACGCAGCGACACCGCGUGGGGGAUGAAGGCUUUCGAGUUGUAAACCCCUUUUCUCGGGGAUGAGAAAGGACAGUACCCGGGGAAUAAGGUUCGGCUAACUACGUGCCAGCAGCCGCGGUAACACGUAGGAACCGAGCGUUGUCCGGAUUUACUGGGCGUAAAGUGCGCGUAGGCGGUCCGUUAAGUCUCAUGUGAAAUCUCCCGGCUCAACUGGGAGAGGUCAUGGGAUACUGGCAGACUGGAGUACAGCAGAGGGGAGCGGAAUUCCCGGAGUAGUGGUGGAAUGCGUAGAUACCGGGAGGAACACCAGAGGCGAAGGCGGCUCCCUGGGCUGUAACUGACGCUGAGGCGCGAAAGCGUGGGUAGCAAACCGGAUUAGAUACCCUGGUAGUC